rnacentral:rRNA from 1 species
GACGAACGCUGGCGGCGUGCUUAACACAUGCAAGUCGAACGGUAAGGCCCUUCGGGGUACACGAGUGGCGAACGGGUGAGUAACGCGUGAGUAACCUGCCCUUCACUCUGGGAUAACAGUUGGAAACGGCUGCUAAUACCGGAUAUUCAGCUCCUGUCGCAUGGUGGGGGUUGGAAAGUUUUGGUGGUGGAGGAUGGGCUCGCGUCCUAUCAGCUUGUUGGUGGGGUGAUGGCCUACCAAGGCGUCGACGGGUAGCCGGCCUGAGAGGGCGACCGGCCACAUUGGGACUGAGAUACGGCCCAAACUCCUACGGGAGGCAGCAGUGGGGAAUAUUGCACAAUAGGCGGAAGCCUGAUGCAGCAACGCCGCGUGCGGGAUGACGGCCUUCGGGUUGUAAACCGCUUUCAGCAGGGACGAAGCGCAAGUGACGGUACCUGCAGAAGAAGCACCGGCUAACUACGUG